rnacentral:lncRNA from 1 species
UCAUUUUGCGCGGGAACGUGACGUAUCGUGUACAGAAGAAAAUACCGGUUGUUACAAGAUUUACGAGUGGAGACAUUCCUAUUAGAGUUUAAGUUGUCUUUGAUAAUCUUAUAUAUUAAUAAUGGUGAAGGCGAAAAAUGGUCGUUCAUCGUUCAAAACUCCAGCCUUUGGACAGGUCGUUCAUGAAACCCUUUAAGAAUGCCUAUAAUGAACAAUGUGGGAUGUGGAUAAGAGCUAAUUCAGGGGUUAGAAUUACUGAAUUCGAUAUUGCUGGACUUGUUUCAGAUGCUUUUAAAAAGGUAGCACGUUAUGACAUAGCAGCAGCAUUUUUGUCAAACGGAUAUAUGCCGAUAUAUCCGUUUGACAAAAAUAUUUUCAGUGAUUUGGAUUAUUUGCCAAGCAAUAUUACGAAUAUUCCAAUGGAAUCCAGUUCUUCACGUGCAGAUUUUGAGGAAGUGAUUGAUAGACAUGCCCCUAGUAUUCCUCAAAAUUUACUGGAACAAGCGCAUGUUGUGGAUAUUUUACCAGAAAGCCCAUUAAUGUCGGUUGCAAGAGAAACACAAGUCUCUCACCUCAGCCUUCUUCUAGCAAAGGCCCAGAAUCAGUGCAACUCGUGUAAAGAAUGGGCUCAAGAGGCAUGCGCUGAUAUUCCAGAGUGCUCUGACAUGUAUAUUUGUGACAGGUGCCACCUUUACUAGAAGUGUUAGGUCAUAAGGACCAUUUUUAGGUAUGUUCGGUACUAGGUGCCACAGAAUGAUGAACCAAAAAUCAAUGCCCAUGAUUAGCUAUAAUUUUCACUAAGAAUUUGUAUUCUGUUAAUUAUUUGUUAAUUUACUUACAUGUCUACGAUUGUUGUGUACCCAAUA